UCUUCUGUCACUUCUCUUUUUUCCUCUUCUUCUUGAAGUCUCUCAAAUUCCCCAUGCCCCACAUAUUUAUAAUUACGUGCGAAAAAGGCAAACAAGACAGUGGUGACCAUCAUCAUGCCAGAGAAUAUGAAGAACUUAACUGACUGUAAAUGAUUCUCGUGAUAGCUUCCUUUCUUCUUCUCAAUCUCCACAAUAACCGCCCACAACACCACAAUAAAGUCUCCCACCCCAACCGACACCAACCACCCAGCCAUCACUAAUGAUUUCAUCGAUAAUGGGGCCUGUGAUGUCAUAAUGGAUGUUAUGAGUUACCUUCACACAGCCAACAAAUCUUGUUAUGAUGUCACCUUUGGGUGGUGAUCGUAUGUAGAGGGGAGUCCCCAGUAUGAAUACCACAAUAGAGAUCAACAUCAACAUACUUGGAACACCAAAUGCGAGGGAGUAGCAAGUUACGUCACCAAAGCAAGAAACACGAGCUAAAAACAUAAAAAAACAAAUAAUGUAAUUCAUUGCUAACGAUGAGGAAUAUUGAAGGGGGAAGAUAUUGCUUCUUCACUUGUUUAUCUGGGGUAGCGCUGGUGGAAGGAGGAGUCUCGUUCUUGACUUCAUGGUUCAAUAAAGUCGUCGCUUCUAUCCAACUACAAAUCACACAGCAGACAUAACAACUGUCAUCGGCUCAAAAUGUGGAUAGCAUAUAUAAUCCCUUGGUUACUUUAUCUGCAUUGUUACAGCUUAAAGCAUAUGCCUGGGAGGAAAUGAUUAGACUUAAAAUAUAUCCUGUCUCGCAAGCAUU